AAUUAUUUUCCCCUGAGGGUGAAGAGAAGGAGGAGAAGCAGCAACAUCUCCAGAGGGUUGCCAGUGCUCCGGCAAUUCAUCUGCGGUUUAGAGGGCAGAGUGACCCAUCCUCGGGAAGACGCGUAGGUUGCAGCUUCCAGAGUGGGAAGAUGGAUAUGUGCCAUGAGUAAUACAUAAGGGACCGGGUGACAAGAUCUAUGAAGAUGGGGGUGUCUGGAGUUUCCCUGGAGGCACCGAGUGCUAUGAAGAAGAUGAGAAUCAUCUCGGAGGUCACACUGCUCUGUAACCAGUUCACCUGCCAGAAGCCAGCACUCCCAGCUCUGCAGCUGAUCAUAUGCAAUGAAACCCUGGGCAGGUAGAUGAGGACUUGGGCAACUCCUUCAAAGUUGCCCCAUGAAAGAGACAGCAAGG
rnacentral:lncRNA from 1 species